rnacentral:rRNA from 1 species
GCGCACGCUGGCGGCAGGCUUAACACCUGCAAGUCGCGCGGGCAUCCUUGUGGUGUCAGCGGCAGACGGGUGAGUAACGCGUGGGAACGUGCCCUUCGGUUCGGAAUAACUCAGGGAAACUUGAGCUAAUACCGGAUACGUGCGAGAGCAGAAAGGUUUAUCUGCCGAAGGAUCGGCCCGCGUCUGAUUAGCUAGUUGGUGAGGUUACGGCUCACCAAGGCGACGAUCAGUAGCUGGUCUGAGAGGAUGAUCAGCCACACUGGGACUGAGACACGGCCCAGACUCCUACGGGAGGCAGCAGUGGGGAAUAUUGGACAAUGGGGGCAACCCUGAUCCAGCCAUGCCGCGUGAGUGAUGACGGCCUUAGGGUUGUAAAGCUCUUUUCUCCGGGACGAUAAUGACGGUACCGGAGGAAUAAGCCCCGGCUAACUUCGUG